rnacentral:rRNA from 1 species
UGGGGAAUAUUGCACAAUGGGGGAAACCCUGAUGCAGCAAUGCCGCGUGAGUGAUGACGGCCUUCGGGUUGUAAAGCUCUGUCUUCAGGGACGAUAAUGACGGUACCUGAGGAGGAAGCCACGGCUAACUACGUGCCAGCAGCCGCGGUAAUACGUAGGUGGCAAGCGUUGUCCGGAUUUACUGGGCGUAAAGGGAGCGUAGGCGGAUUUUUAAGUGAGAUGUGAAAUACCCGGGCUUAACUUGGGUGCUGCAUUUCAAACUGGAAGUCUAGAGUGCAGGAGAGGAGAAGGGAAUUCCUAGUGUAGCGGUGAAAUGCGUAGAGAUUAGGAAGAACACCAGUGGCGAAGGCGCUUCUCUGGACUGUAACUGACGCUGAGGCUCGAAAGCGUGGGGAGCAAACA